UAUCGGACCAUUUUGAGUAGCGUGCGUAUUGUGAAAAAAUUAUAUGGUUAAUGGACAAUAUGUCCAAUUUUUUGGCAUAUUUGGCAUUAGAAUUCUUUUCCUUUGCCCUCAUUUAUGAAUUAUAUAUAUAUAUAUAUAUUAUUAGUUUUGUCUGUUGUUGAGGAACUUGCCAGAACAAUUCAGUGUCAAGAGAGAAACAUUCCAGGCAGAAUGUUCCAUUAUUUCCAUCUUAUGUAGCAGCAGCAGACGGAAGACUUUUAUAAAUAAUCUGCCUUUCCUUUCUUUCAGUAAAAGACUUAUUUGCUCAGACAGAAAGAAAAAAUUAUAUUAAUAGGGAAAACUGUAAAUAAAUAAAAAGAGGGACAAAAUGUAUCCCAAAUUAUGUU
rnacentral:lncRNA from 1 species